rnacentral:rRNA from 1 species
AAAGGACAGUGUCGUCUUCGGAGCAGGGAGACAGGUGGUGCGAUGGUUGUCGUCAGCUCGUGUCGUGAGAUGUUGGGUUAAGUCCCGCAACGAGCGCAACCCUUAUCCUUAGUUACCAGCACGUAAAGGUGGGGACUCUAGGGAGACCGCCGGGGACGACUCGGAGGAAGGUGGGGACGACGUCAAAUCAUCAUGCCCCUUAUGUCUUGGGCUACACACGUGCUACAAUGGCCGCAACAGAGGGAAGCGAGAGCGCAAGCUGGAGCAAAACCCUAAAAAGCGGUCCCAGUUCGGAUUGUGGGCUGCAACCCGCCCACAUGAAGUCGGAGUUGCUAGUAAUCGCGAAUCAGCAUGUCGCGGUGAAUGCGUUCCCGGGCCUC